UGCAAGUCGAGCGAGAACCCCGGUUCGCCGGGGGAGUACAGCGGCGCACGGGUGAGUAACGCGUGGGCAAUCUGCCUCCGCCAGGGGGAUAACCCACCGAAAGGUGGGCUAAUACCCCAUAAACCGGCGGGGCUUCGGCCUUCGUCGGCAAAGGUGGCCUCUGCGAGCAAGCUGCCGGGUGGAGAUGAGCCCGCGUCCCAUUAGCUAGUUGGUAGGGUAACGGCCUACCAAGGCGACGAUGGGUAGCUGGUCUGAGAGGACGGCCAGCCACACUGGAACUGGAACACGGUCCAGACUCCUACGGGAGGCAGCAGUGAGGAAUAUUGCGCAAUGGGGGAAACCCUGACGCAGCAAUGCCGCGUGGGUGAAGAAGGCCUUCGGGUCGUAAAGCCCUGUCAGGCGGGAAGAAUAGCCUUGGGGUUAACAGCCGCGAGGUCUGACGGUACCGCUGAAGGAAGCACCGGCUAACUCCGUGCCAGCAGCCGCGGUAAGACGGAGGGUGCGAGCGUUAUUCGGAAUUACUGGGCGUAAAGGGCGUGCAGGCGGCCGGUCAAGUCAGAUGUGAAAGCCCAGGGCUCAACCCUGGAAGUGCAUUUGAAACUGGCUGGCUUGAGUCCGGGAGAGGGAGGCGGAAUUCCGGGUGUAGAGGUGAAAUUCGUAGAUAUCCGGAGGAACACCGGUGGCGACGCGGCUUCCUGGACCGAGACUGACGCUGAGACGCGAAAGCGUGGGGAGCAACAGGAUUAGAUACCCUGGUAGUCCACGCUGUAAACGAUGGGCACUAGUGUGGGGGGGGUUUUUAAUCCCUCGUGCCGCAGCUAACGCAUUAAGUGCCCCGCCUGGGGAGUACG
rnacentral:rRNA from 1 species